GGCUCCGUAGUGUAUGGGCGUAGCACGUUACCCUGUCAAGGUAGAAGGGCGGGUUCGAAUCCCGUCGGAGCCGC
rnacentral:tRNA from 1 species